rnacentral:rRNA from 1 species
GAUGAACGCUGGCGGCGUGCCUAAUACAUGCAAGUCGAGCGAACAGACGAGGAGCUUGCUCCUCUGACGUUAGCGGCGGACGGGUGAGUAACACGUGGAUAACCUACCUAUAAGACUGGGAUAACUUCGGGAAACCGGAGCUAAUACCGGAUAAUAUAUUGAACCGCAUGGUUCAAUAGUGAAAGACGGUUUUGCUGUCACUUAUAGAUGGAUCCGCGCCGCAUUAGCUAGUUGGUAAGGUAACGGCUUACCAAGGCAACGAUGCGUAGCCGACCUGAGAGGGUGAUCGGCCACACUGGAACUGAGACACGGCCCAGACUCCUACGGGAGGCAGCAGUAGGGAAUCUUCAGCAAUGGGCGAAAGCCUGACGGAGCAACGCCGCGUGAGUGAUGAAGGUCUUCGGAUCGUAAAACUCUGUUAUUAGGGAAGAACAAAUGUGUAAGUAACUAUGCACGUCUUGACGGUACCUAAUCAGAAAGCCACGGCUAACUACGUG